CGACCACGGCCCGCACCUUAAAGAACUUCUCCACUGCGGUGUCCUGUUCAGAAAAAGAUUACGACGAGCGAGCGAUACAGUGUGAGAUAGGCACACUUGGCGCGGUACCAUAUCCCAGGCGCGGCACGCACACGAUCAACUACUUUUAACUGAGUAUGUGCACUACUGACGGCUUACCGCGUACAGGCAUUCCCAGCUGUGGUUGCUGCCGGUCCACCGCAGCCUCAGCAGCUUGCAGUUCAGCCGGAUGUGCGGCAGCAGGUCAAAGUGCCACGCGUACGCCCGCACGUAGUCCCGGACCUGUUCUGCUGAGGGGUACUCGUCCUCCGGCUGCAGCUCCAGGGGCCACAGGAACUCAGGAAACUGGUAUUGCCGCCAGGGUGCUGCGGGUUCACGUGUAUGCGCGUGGCGAGGCAAUCGUAUUAGGCCGUGGCGUACGGGCCGCGUUGCACCGUGUUUGUACAACCAUUCGCCCCGUCACGCCACGAAAGAACGCCAGCUACGGAAACCACCUCUACCCAUGUUCCUCACUUUGUAACUUGCACCCGUAGUGGUUCUGUGAGGUUGGUGGGCGUGGGAGCACGGCGGUCGAUUGGAUGACAGGGCGCACAUGUGAAAUGCAAAUGCAUCGGUCACGCAAAACCCGGGACUUCUUACCUGCGACCACACGCCGGCGAUAUCGUUGUGUGCUUCCAGAACCAUAACCUGUUGCAAAGAAAUUGUGAUCGAGCCUUCAGUUUGCUGACCGAAAGACCGACGGGAUGAGCAGGCACGUUUUACCUCCAGGCCGAUUUUUAAAAGCUGCCGCGCUGUUUGUAAUCCGGCCACUCCCGCUCCAACUACAAGCACUCGCUGAAUCGCCGGCGAGCAAGGAGCCGACACCGGACUGUGCCCGAGACCAUACGGGGGGGUUUGCCCCAUUUGAUAGCCAGCCGACAUUCUACCGCGUUAGCAGCUGGAAUCGUGCAUUUGGAACUACGAUGGCCGCUGCUCCCAGGACCUAAAAAAGCGCCCAGCCGCGGAAACAGCCGGGUGCUGCGGGCGACCAGCAAAAGGAUAACGGUCGUGUGUCUGAAACAUGUGUUAAUUGGCUGCCGGAGUAUAUCGCGAGAAGUCUUGACUCAGUUUCGCGUGUGUCAACCACGCCGGGUCAAUUCGAUCUCGUGAGAGCCAUUUAUAUAGAUAAAUCACUGUACACAUGUAUUGGUUAUUGGCAAAUUGCCAACAAUUGGCGCCCAGCAGCCCCCACCGCAGCACCGCUACGCGGCAUGAAUUAGUGUCUGCGAUCCGCAAGCCCUUCCUCACAACGCCCAGUAGUUCCUUAGCGUGACCUUGCACACUUUGCCUUUCACCAUCUACAAUCCGGACUACCGCAAACUUUGCAAAACCGGGUACCAUCCGAGUGGGCUACGCGCAAACGCGCCUUGCAUACGCGCCAUUUAUGACAAGGCAGACGCAAACGCAUUCAAAUUCGAAUACCUAAUCACAUACAGCGAUGGCAACUUAGCUGGUAGCAGUUGCCGGUGUGGGCGCUGCAGCUGACUGAGCGGCCGUCGGAGCGGGUUUGCACACUGGCUUGUGUUGGGGCCAGUGCGCCAGCUGGCAUGCCCGGGAGCAGUACCGCACCGUCCGGCAUUUGCCACAGUGCUGGAAUGGCGGGUUCCCGGCCGGCGGCGCGGUGCCGCACGAGGCGCAGUUGCUGCCGCCGCUUGCCGCGGCCCCCGUCCCUGCCCCUGGCCCGCCGUAGGGGUGCGGCGGCGCAACCGGCGGGAAUGACUGUUGCUGCGCCUGCUGCUGCUGCUGCUGCGCCUGCUGCCGCUGCUGCGGCGACAUCUUGGCCUGUUCCGCCAUGCGCACCAGGUGCAGCACCGAGUGGCCCCUGCGGAGAUGCAAUUGCAGUCACGGCGGUCAAGAGCCGUCACGAAAUGGGCGCAAUGAGUCGUGACAAGAGAAAUAUGCUGGACCCGCGUCUGGCCCCAGGCCAUACUGUGCUCAUUUCAAACGAGACCCAAGGCGGCCCUCCUACCAGUUGAUGAUUUCCUGAAUCUGUCCCUUGAGCCAGGACUGGGCAAUACGCGCGUCCACGCCCUCAGCCACCUGCGCAUGAGGGCACAGCGAGCCCCAAACACGGUAAUGCAGGAUGCCUGGUAAGGUCCACGCGUCGCUCGAUGCCAAGGGCCUGCCGCCACGCAGACCCCAUAAUCCCCAUCCAAGGCGUCCUUCCCAUCCCACCCGGGCGGCCGGGCCCACCUGCAUUCCGGGCAGGUCGCGCGCCGCCUGCUCGCCCGUGAAGCGCACGCCCCAGUCCUCCAGCUGCACGCCCAGCGCCGGCGCCACCGUCUCCACGUGCCCCGCGAAGGCGCGGAAGAAGUUGGCGUAGUCGCCUGGGUAGGGCGAGGUGAAGGCGCGGCCCGACGCGGAGGCGGCGGGGUCGGCCACGGCGGCACGCAGCACGCGCAUCGUGUCCACGUAGCCCUCUGCACGAGCGGUCGGAGGAGACGAGGUGGUUGGGGGUGAGCGUUGCGUUGGUUUGGAAGGAGGGUUCGGUGGGCAGCCAUGAUUGCCGCGCUUGCAGGUCAGCCAAGUCGUGCACGCAAACUACUAGGUCCCAUUCCCACCAUGCGAGAGCCCCUAUGGUCCCUGACACAGCCGCGCGCCCGCCCGUUUGCGCACCAGUGAACAUGCCAAACGCGUGCCGGAUGACGAAGCCGCACGCCUCCACCACGUCUUCCUCGCUGCUGCCCAUCACUACCGUGGGCAGCCCCAGCAGGAUGAGCAGGUUGCGCACCGCCCCCUCGGCCUGGUCCAGCAGCCGCCGCCGCGACACCGUGCUGGGCCGCAGGUCCGCGUACGGCCCCAGCGCCUGCAGCCUCUCCUGCUCCUUCUCCUGCUGCUCCUUCUCCGCGCCCUCACCAGCACUGCUGCUGUCCUCCAUCCGGUGGCGAAGCUCUGCCAACCCAUCCGCCAGGCCCUCUAGCACCGGCCGCAGCAGCCCCAGCGUGCCCGGCCGCAGCAGCCAGGCACGCUGCGGCGCCAGCCCCGCCGCGCUGAGCUCAAAGCCGCGCGUGCCCAGCCCCGCCAGGUUGGCCACCAACGAGGUCGCCUGCGCCGCCAGCGCCAGUCGCUCCUCGAACAAGUCAUCUGGGCCGCUGCCGCUAGUGGUGUUAGAGGGAGAGGCCGCGGCCUUGCCCUCGCCGGACUCAAGCGCCGCCAUGGCGGACACCAGAGCCGCAGCGGCGGCGGCUUCGCCUCCCGCGACCGCCUCCGAAGCGCCUGCGGCGGCGGCGGGGCUGCCGGUGGCGGCCACGGUGGCGAUGACCAGCAGGCGGGCGGCCAGGUCAAUACGCUGCAGCAGCUCGCGGAAGCCCUUGCAGUGGGGCGUGGGGUGGCUGCGCGCAGGGGAACGGCAGGGCAAGCGGAGGAAAGGAGCCGAGUGAGGCGGGGUAGCAGGCAGGCCAGGGGACGGACAGAUGAUAUGGUGACAUGACUCAGCGUUGCAAUCAUCUGCAACCUUAUCGUCGUAGUCCGCCGCCCCCCCCCCCGCCGCAGCAAGGCGACCCUGCCUGCUCCUAGGGCCCCAUCCAUGGCGCACGAUGAGCCCGCCCAAACUCACCGCGUCAGCUCCCAGCACAUCUGCACGCAGCGCGCCGCCGUGCCCAGGCCGCCGGGAGUGAGCAGCGUCGCGGGCGUGACGGCCAGAUAGAUGACCUGGCUGAUGACCAGCUCACACAGCUCGGGCCGGGACGCCACGGCCUCCAGAUUGUCGCCCGCGGCGUGGCCGGCCAGCAGCGUAAUGCUGCACAGCAGCAGCACCGCGGCCUGUGCGGUGGGGUCGUCCAUCUUGCCCACCCUGCGGAGAAUUCGGCGGUGGGGUGGGUUGGGGGCAUGGGUGGCCGCAUGCUUAUGAGGCGCGGUGUUGUGAAGUCGUGGCUGCAGUGAUGGCUCAACUCGCUAGUGCGCCCCUCCGCGACAAGGCUGCAGCAAUUGCACAGCCUCGCCGCCUGGACUGUCCCGCCGCACCCACCGCUGGUGCAGGCGCACAAGGGUGUUGAGGAAAGAGUGCUCCACGAGGCACCAGGCGAAGCGCGGCGUGGUGGCCGUCAGCACAUCGUUCAGCGCAACCUGCAGGCACGCAGAUGAAUCCCUCGCAAACGGUCCCAAGACCGAUGUUCCCACGCGGUAUUCCCGCGCGGUAAUCCCCUCUGGUCCCAUCGCUCGACAUAUGUCAGGGUUCUCAGCAAGAAGCUAUGCAGUCGUACGCGCCCUGCCCAGUCUUCACGGCCUUGACAGCUAGCACACACUUAGCAACCCCCUUGAAACCGGAUUAUCGUUGCACGGAACAGUGCCAGGGCUUGCACAGAAUCAAAUCCAACAUCCCAUUCUGUCCAGCACAUGCGCACCCAUGACACCGGCGCCAUGGAGCUGCAUGUGAGUACAGGCGCGCGCGCACUCCUCUGGCUGCCUGCACCCACGCCGCUGCACACCGCCGUCAAAUGACUGCCACCAAACUUCCACAUCGCCGCAUGUCCUCUGCACGCCCCCCUGCCACGCGUACACCUGUCUGUCUGUCUGUACGACUCGCACAUCGCACUCCGCACCGCGCUGCUGGCCCUUGCCCAUGUGUGCCCCUCGCCCCAUGCAUGGGCCCCCGCAGCCUGGCCACAGCACAGCACCCAACCCACCAGCGUGCGGUAAGACUCUGGCUUGCUCGCGUCCAGUGAAGGAAUUGUGGUGUUCAGGUAGGCAAUGUUGAGAGCCGCAUACACCUUUUGGCUGCUGUUCGGCGUGGAGAGCAGCGCAUCCAGGUUUGCGUCCACCGACGAGAUCACCGGUUUGGCUAGCUCAAUGCGCUCAGCAAUUGUCAGCGAUUCCGUAGAAGCUUGAGACGCAGUGAAGUACCCCUUCCAGUUCACCGGGUUUGGUGAUCCCAUUGUGGAGUAUUUGUCAGUUCUGCGGGCGGUCUGUCCUGCUAUUCAGAAUACUCUGUAUUUAAAGAUGCACCUGUGGUUUACGUAAAGAAGUUCUUCAGGGAGCGCUACGAUUUAGUGAAUCAUUGACGCUUUCGUCACAGUCAUCCGCAUCCAAUUCAGCCAACCAAAUCGGUGGCCUGGAUUAAAUGCAGCAUACAUUAAAUUGAUUUGGCUAAGCCCGCGGCUGGGGGGCGGGACCCCCGGGUCGAGGGAAGGCUGCAGUCGCGCGGCGAGGAGGGCCAUCGGCUGUGCAGCUGACCUAUUUCGCAGGUAUACUUAUGCGUAUGUCAAUAGAGGCAUCGGUUGCACAAAGGGCCGAAGUGUGCGGCCGAGCCCCCGCCAAAACAAAUUCUCUUUUCAGCGCUCUGCCACCGCUGUCGUUGAUAAGUCCUUGGUUAUUUUGCAAGGCCUUGCGUUGUAAUCUUGAAGGGCGCGCCUGGUGCUCGGCGGGAAAAAAUUCUCUACCUCAUCGCGGCCCAUCGCAGAGCCCGGAGUUCAAGCAAGGGUCAGCGCGCCUGCCUCCCCCUUUUCCGAGGCCUGCUUAAGCGGCCUCUUCAGCUUUCAAAACAGCUCCUUAACCGUUUUCUUUUUCGCGGGCCUGAGGCCCUGUUCGGUGAGACUAGCACGUUCAAGCGCGCAUCCGCGCCGUCCUUGACGCCAUCGGCUCCCCCCGCAGAAGCACAACCAGCAAACAUGGCUGCCGCGCCGGUUGAGCGCACCGGUUUCGAUGACCGCGCCUUCGACACGAAGAUGCAGCAGUUGUGAGUGGCCGCCGCCCUUGCGGGUCUAGAGGGCACUAAUUUCGCGGGCCGCCGCAGCCGGGCCAGACGCGCUAACGCCCCUGCUCGUGCCGUAUCGCAGCCUGGGCAACAACGAGGACAAGUUCUACACCGACUGGGAGGAGAGCUUUGAGAGCUUCGACCAGAUGAACCUGCACGAGAACCUGCUGCGCGGCAUUUACGCGUACGGUGAGUAGAUACUGCUUUAUUAUGCUGAAGAUCAUGGUUGCUAGCUUUUGGAAGCACUGGCGCGGUCUGGGCCGGGCCAUCGGCGUGGCGCCCUUCCUCGGUGUUGCGGGCCAAGCAGAGGAGCUCGCUGCGCUGGUCGGUUCAAACUCCGGCAGAUCAUUUAGCAGUAUUCAACAGCAGUCGCGGGUUUGGCCUCUUGCGCGGGAGGUGCCUACCUGUUGCUCAGGCCGAUGGAGCUGCCGACAGGGUCGGGGCCAAUCAGCAGCUGCUACCAGGCUUCAAGCGGCAGCAGCCAUGUUAUGGCUGCGGCUGCACUGGGUGGUCGCAGCAGCGGGGCGAGAGCGUCCGCGUGGUAGCUGAAAGGUCACUGGCGCAGUUUGAAUCCUCGGAGUGGCCACGGCGCAACCACUGGACUUCGGCGUGCGAACCGCUCAGCGGCCAGACUUGCUAGCCUGCAAGCCCGGGAUAUGCGCAGUCCAGCACGUGCUAUACCUCCAGCAUGUGCGGUCAAGCCGGGCACGGAGCACAGCGGGGACGGCGUGGCAGGGGCUGUGGGGCCCGGCAAAGCGGCCAGCUCCGUGUGGGCGGCUGGACUGCUGGCGCGCUCGCAGACGGCAGUCCAGCUCUCACCCCCUGUAUGCGGGCCACAUUCCGGACUGGAGGCUGGCACUGACCAUGUUGCGGCCUUGUAGCCUCGUAGCACCUACUUGCCUGCGACUCCCUUGCCCCGCGACUGACCUAGGUCUGCUGCCCGAUGUGCGCCAUGCCCCUGUUGCGAUGACCAGGUUUCGAGAAGCCCUCGGCCAUUCAGUCGAAGGGUAUCGUGCCGUUCACCAAGGGCCUGGACGUGAUUCAGCAGGCCCAGUCGGGCACGGGCAAGACCGCCACCUUCUGCGCCGGCAUCCUGAACAACAUCGAUUACAACUCGAACGAGUGCCAGGCGCUGGUGCUGGCUCCCACCCGUGAGCUGGCGCAGCAGAUUGAGAAGGUCAUGCGCGCCCUGGGCGACUUCCUGCAGGUGCGUGGAAGGACUGGGAGGAACGGUGGGAAAGAGGGCGUGCAGUCUGCCGGCGCCGUGCACAGGUUGCAGCGCUGGGGACUUUGGCAACAUAAGCGCAGAAUCGGAAGGGAUUGCGCAGCGACCUGCAACGGAAUUUUCACGUCUUUUGCCCACCCUCUUCUUGGUAUACAGGUUAAGUGCCACGCCUGCGUGGGUGGCACCAGCGUGCGUGAGGACGCCCGCAUCCUGGGCGCCGGCGUGCAGGUCGUGGUCGGUACCCCCGGCCGUGUCUUCGACAUGCUGCGCCGCCGCUACCUGCGCGCGGACUCCAUCAAGAUGUUCACCCUGGACGAGGCCGAUGAGAUGCUGUCUCGCGGUUUCAAGGACCAGAUCUACGACAUCUUCCAGCUGCUGCCCCCCAAGCUGCAGGUGAGCCGGCUGCCAGCAUUGCAUGGGCUUGGUCUGUCGCUUGCAAUUGCUUGUAGAAAUCUGCGCGGUCGACGUGGGAUUGGAAGGCGGCGUGAUUGAACUGCACCAGAUGGCAAAGACGCUGAGCAGCAAGGACGCGGCGGAAUCAGCAGCUGUGGCGCGAGCGGCCGGGAGCGUCGUGGAGCAGUGGGUUGCCAGCGUGGUGGAUGAUCACACGCGCCAAACGUCCUGAUGAAUGGCAUGGUAUCCACGAGUGGGGAAAAGACAUGUACUGGCGCUCUGACAUGCCUGCUUAUCUGCCGUGUGCAGGUCGGUGUGUUCUCCGCCACCCUGCCCCCUGAGGCGCUGGAGAUUACCCGCAAGUUCAUGAACAAGCCCGUAAGUUGGUUGCCCGUGGAGGUGGGCGGAAAGGCAGUGGGGAUUUGAGAAUGCCAGAUCGGUUUGGGGUUCGAAGUUAUUGAGCCUGUGAGCUGGAUGAGUGCCGCGCUUACUGGCUCCCAAUUCUCGUCAAACGCCUCUGUAGGUGCGCAUUCUGGUGAAGCGCGAUGAGCUGACCCUGGAGGGUAUCAAGCAGUUCUACGUGAACGUGGACAAGGAGGAGUGGAAGCUGGACACGCUGUGCGACCUGUACGAGACGCUGGCCAUCACCCAGUCCGUCAUCUUCGCCAACACCCGCCGCAAGGUGUGGGCGGGGACGCGCGGGGGGGGGGGGCGCCUGGGGAUGCGCGAUGGGGACCAACCAGCUUCAUUUGGCACAGCCGGCAAACUUCUGAGGGCAGGGCGGCCCGGCUAACGUGUUUGUGGGAACGGUUGCCUAGCACCCUGUUGUGUUGCUAACGAAUUAUGCCCAUGCUGCCGAUGCAAUCCGCAGGUGGACUGGCUGACGGACAAGAUGCGCGAGCGCGACCACACCGUGUCCGCCACCCACGGCGACAUGGACCAGAACACGCGCGAUGUGAUCAUGCGCGAGUUCCGCUCCGGCUCGUCGCGUGUGCUGAUCACCACCGACCUGCUGGCCCGCGGCAUUGACGUGCAGCAGGUGUCGCUGGUCAUCAACUACGACCUGCCCACCCAGCCCGAGAACUACCUGCACCGCAUUGGUCGCUCGGGCCGCUUCGGACGCAAGGGUGUUGCCAUCAACUUCGUGACCAAGGUAAGCGGCUGGGCAAGGAGGUCAAUGAAAGGCGAUGUUCGGAACUCUUGCUGGAGCCGAAUAUGGAUUGGGAAAGGGUGCUUGGCCGGCGCGUGUCAGCGCUGAAGCAUUGAUGACGCGAUGAUGAGAGUGGCAGUAAGGCGUGCUGCUGUGGAACGCGGGACCUGGCACCUGCUGACUCUCAACCAUAUCCUUGUGCCUUUGCAGGACGACGAGCGCAUGCUCCAGGACAUCCAGCGGUUCUACAACACCGUGAUUGAGGAGCUGCCCUCGAACGUCGCUGACCUCAUCUAAGCGCUCUACUACCACCAAAUGUGCGCUAGCCCCUGGGUCCAGCCGAUCCCAAGCACGGGGCGAAGCCUGCAGGAUGUGAAGGGCACGGGGCAGGGCGCGCCGCCACGCAGCCGCCCCGUGACCCGACAACGUGCUGUACGUGCUGCGCUGCGAGUCCUUUUGAACACGGGCCGUCGUUGCGGGUGGUAAACGUGAACCUGUGUUGAGGCGGGUCGGCGCAGCUUCGGUUGCAGCCAUUUGAGAGAGAAGGAAGUUUGCCGGUUUGCAAACGGCAGGAGUUUUGUCGCGACCGCCAUAUGUUUGACGCCUUUUGAGAGUGCCACACCGCUGCCCAACCUAUUCGUAUGACUGUAAGGACGCAAGUCUGCGAUUCUUCGGCACUUCUCUGGGAUAGGGACAGGGUGGCGGAAAAGUUGGGACCCAGCUGGGUGGGGUAAGCACAAGCCAGGUGUCGCAGCGGCUGCGCACAUGCCGGGCGGGGCAGGGGCCAGCACCUUCCCCCAUCGAAAGUGUUCAGACUCGCAGACCGGACAGCAGGGACAACUGGCCAAAGGAUCUCAGCCUCCAAGAGGACGAGGUUAUGGCCCCCUUCACCGUCAGCAAUUUCCGGGAUGGCUUGGCUGCAGCGUGGCAUACCCGUUGCAGGUUGGGGCUGUCCCCAAUCGCCAAUCCUCUGUGGUUCAGCAUGGCAGUAUUAAAAUCCCCAAUUUCGUAACAUUGCAUGUACAUUCCAAUAUCGUUAAUCGGAAGCAACGUCCAAGAAAGGCCAAAGUAGUUCGUUCCAUUAUUUUAGACUGUUCAACCCCGCCGUGGACGCAUAAUCGCACAGUGUUUUUCACGCUUAUUUGCACUGUUUUACAAAUGACUGACGGACCUGCUCUGCCUUGGGCUGCUGGCGAGAACGCCGAGGCUGUGGCACAACAAGAGGCCACUGACGAUGUAGCCCCUGCGCCUCGUUCAAUCCUCAGGAUGGAGGAGGCUGGGCUCACAGCAGGGGCCCGGCUGGAGGUGUGUAGCUGCAUUUUUGCACUUGGAAUGUCCCCGCCAGCUGCUCGACAGCCGUUCUCGCCUCGCCCCAAGCGGGCCCGCUCACGGCGACAUGCUGGCUGUCGUCGCAGGUCAAGUGGAAUGUAGAGCCGGACGAGGGCGAGGCCUACACGCGGGUAUGUGUGUCAGCUGCGAGCCCGGCAAGGCCCACCUGUCUGUGCGGUGCCCGACGCCCUUUCCCUUGUCGCUUCUGCAGUGGUGGGGAGCAACGCUGGUGGGACCCAGCACUGAGAAGCACCCUGAUCACCCUGACGCAUCAGUCUACGAGCUUGCGUGAGUUGGGGGCUGCGGCGGUGCCAAUCAACUGCAGUUAUUACGGCUUGCUGCCGAGGACGGUUCGUGCACAGCACAAGCGUAAAACGCCCCAUCCACACACGCAGAUACGACGCCCAUGAUGACUUCGACCAGGAAAAGAGCCAUGUCGUCUUGAUGGGAGAGCGUGAGUUGCUGCCGCUUCUCCUCAGGCAGCAUAAAGUUAGACAGCUGCACCGGGACUCUGAACUGAAUGUUCCCACCCCCAGCCAAGGUUCCCACAUUGCUUGUCUGUCCUGCAGACUCCCUUCUACAACUGGACCAGACCGAGGAGCUGACAUGGCGCCGCGAGGGUGACGAGUGGGACGAGGUUCCUGAGGUGAGCGGCGCAGCUUCCACAUGCGCUUGAGACCGUCUCAUCUCUUCAGGGUUUGGUGCAUUACAAACCGCGUGGGACCCGGCGCUGUCCACCCUGUUGCACGUCUACGACUGGGGGUUACGAGUACCAAAACCACAUUGCGCUGGACUGCACAACAAGCUAUGAUCCACUGCGACAGCGCGCACUCUACCUGACGUAUCAGAGCUAGGGUUGGCACGAUGCUGUGUAUAUAGAUAUCUAGUAUACCAUUGCAUAGCGCUACACCGAUAUGCUAUGUGACGGCCGCGUUAUCUAGUGCAUAUGGCCUUUCGUGCUGCCUGCAAAGCAUCGGCUGUACAGCAUAGAUAGUGUUGCACAGCUGGCCAGGCAUAUGUACAUGUGAGACACGGCGGUUGCCCGAUACAUUCUGCGGCCCAACCAGCGGUGCAUCCCGCCCUGAGCCCAACCUUAACCUGUGUACGUGUUGGGCCAUGCACUCAAGGGGUUAUGCCUCUGCUUAUAGGUCCGUAGAUUCCGUACGGUGAGGGCCAGGGCGCGGGCGGUCCGGUGGGUGGCAGCGAGAGUGCGGUGUUGCAGCGGUUGCUGCAGGCAGCAGCGCGGCCGCGGCGGCUGCAGCAGCAGCAGCAGGGUGGCCACUGAUGGGGGCAAUGCAUGGCAUUGGGGCGGCGCUUUGCAGCGGCGGCACCGGCGCAUACGGUCAGCAGCGGCACGGCGGCGGCAGAGGGUGGCAGGGCAACGCGCACGUAGCGUGCCGCGCCCACCCUCACAGCGGUGCGCCGGACCCUUGCCAUGCUGUCGGGCUGGCCUAUGUCAUUGCGUGCAAGCGGCAAACCCAAUAUUCAGGUCAUAUAGUGGCACCGCCGAGGAGGUGGGGGCCGGGGGCGCGGGGGGUGACUGGCGGCGCGGCAGGGCGGCCCACACGGGCUCUCGGCGACAGCCACAUGUUGGGGCGCCGUGCUUGUGCCCAAACUUCAAUACGGUACUUGUUUCACGUCCCGAAGUUACCAAGCCAACCAGCGUGCGCACCGUAUAUGGCAUGGCAUGCGGAUACUCGACUAGCAUCAUUAUGAAGAGGCUACAUAACACUAGAGGUUUUGGCUAUCUAGCCCUUCUUCCAACUCUAAUUUAAUCGCACUCUUUUGGCGCCAACGACGCUGCAGGAUGGUGACGAUGAGGAGGAGGUGGUGGACGGCGAGGCGGUGGUGACCAUGGAGGACCUGGCCGAAGAGGAGAAGUGAGUCGACGCGGGGUUUGUAGGGCAGUGCGAAGUAAGGAUUCAAACCGAUGGGGCGAAAUCUUCCGCACUCCUUCGGUCGCUGACGAUGCGUGUGCCGCGCCGACUCAUACGUGUUGGCAGCAUGCCGUUGCAAGGGUAAACCGCGGUGCGGCAAGAAUGCAGCAGCUUUGCAACUCCAGCCUGCUGCGGCACUCUUGCGCGCAUGGCCACUUUACACCCCUAGGCCACCAUCCCAUCUACGGCCCAACGCGCCACCUUCUCCCAGCCUACACUCCCAUUCCUGCGCUUGCCCAACUCCCACGCCUGGCCCGGCCUCAGGGAGCUGCUGGGCGGCAAGACGCUGGAGGAGGCGGAGAGCGAGGCGAUGAGCACCCUAGAGCCCGCCAAGCGCAUCGCGGUGGCGGCUGGCUUCCGUGACUUCGCCGACAACCUGGUGUGAGUAGCCGAGCCGGACUGAGACAUUGCGAGGGUGUGUAUGGUUUUGCCGUCGCAAGGCGGCCAGUCUUUCACCUUGACGCAUAGCAAUUAAGAGCGACCGCGGCUGGCCGACACCGCCGCUACCAGAACCGAACACCAGCAAAACGCUUCGCUGCUGUGCCCUGCCCCUACAUCGCUAGCCCCCACCCACCCUACAUAAUGUCCCCAGGGUCUGAGUCACUGGUUUGGUGCAGACGGACCCCACCCCAACCACCUCGCCCUUGCCCGCACAGGUCGUUCCUGCACGAUGUAGUGGGCAGUGCGCCCGAGUCAGACGGCGGGCCGCCCACCGUCACGGCGGAGCACGUGCAGGCAUUUGUGGAGCACAUGGCGAAGAAGCAGCGCACCCGGUGAAGCUGAGGUUCGUGCAUUGGCGCCUGUAGGCGGCUGCCCCCUGGCAGGCCCCAGUGCCCAUGUAAUGUUGAUUUGCACAUUGACGGCGGGGGCUGGGCGUGGCGCAGGAUGAGGAGGGGUCCCAACGUGGGCAGGGUGGCAGCCAUUCGGCUUCGGCAGGACUCAUGGACCGCCAUGGCGGACUAACAAACGUAUUACAGCCCUAAUAACAUGAGUUUCAUCAAGUCUGAUAACAUAGAUGGUUGUCCGUUGCUUGCAUUGAACACAUGGCAUGCAUACCGUACGGUAUGCUGCACUGAUUGCAGACCAGGUUGAGUUGAUGAGUGGCCGCACACACGAGAUGUGUUACGACUUCACGCAUCUAUUCGCAUGAAGAAUCGCUUAAGGCUGACCCAGGCAUUAAGACCGCUGUGAACGCAUGCACGCGCGUGGCCUUGCGCUUUGAUUACCGCUCAAGAAAUAGACGUCGGGUUUAACUUUCUCUGUAACAUGUGAUACAUGGCAGCGUACGUGAAUGCCGUAGAAUCGAGUACAUGCUGGCAGCGCGGCGCAGCGUCUAAUACUGUACGGGCGUUUCUCUUGGGACCUUCCUGCCUCUUUUGGGGUCCCCUCACUCCUCAGGCCUCAUUUGGCACUCGCACACCAACUUCACGAUGAUGACACAAAAUACGUAUCGGAGAAGGCAAGAGCACGACGUCGUUGAGGCUUGGGCGCUAACUGAUGGUCAAGGCGGGGGGACGGACACGUGCCAUGCGGGCCUGGAAGACUGCCUGAGCUCGCGACAACCCAACCGUGUCUGCGAGCGAGGCCGCGCUGGUGUUAUCCCCAGCCGUGCUGAUAUCAAUGGUUGCUUGCAUUAGGUGCUGAGUCACAUUGUAACCGUUGCGCCUCGGCCUGGUGCUUGCGGGGCAUCGACCCUUUGAUCUUCAUCAGUGUCGUCGGUUGGGCGCCUAUUAGCAAAUGCCGUCUGUGAUAUUAUCUUUAUUUAUCCCUUGACAUAGUUGUUGUGUCACUCUCGACUUUGUGACAGCUGGAGGCGCGAGACGCUGCAAGCGUGGCGCGCCGGUUUGGUAGCACCAAAUGGUGCCUCCCACAGAGACACAAAACGACGCGUAAUUGCCAGAUCGCUGCCUUAAGUGUUGCGCAAACUAAAAUUGAGAGCGAAACCUUUUCGCCCACGGGGGCUCCACGCGAGCUGAAAAAGCCGACCGCGACACCGUACGCGCGGCCUCGGGGCCUCUCUCAUGAUGGCAAACGUGAGCAUGGCGCGGCGAUGCGCAUCGCUGUGUUUAAUUAGCCCGCACGCCACAAUCUCAUUCUGGCACGACGUCCUUGGCCUCCGCAUCACCCUGUUGGUUCAUAUAUGGCUGGCAUUGCUGGAAGUUUCGGUGGAAGCUUGCUUCUUUCGAACCCUAACAGCCUUGAGCAAGGUCUUCUACAUAACGCGAUGACGCAUAACCCCGUAUCAGACUCGCUCAGCGAGCCUCUCCUGCAAGGAGGCGAGGAGCCCCAAUUGGGCCACACCGUCGUGCAGGUCUCAGCGACGGCGGCCACUUCGAACGGCACAGCGCAUCCAACUGGUACAAUCCAAAAAACACUUCAGCGCAAGGGCAGUGGCGACAGCGACGGUCGACAGGCUGAGUCGUUGAGCGUGUCGGUUCGGCGGUGUUCAACACUGCAAACCACUGCGGCACUGCUAACGCUCCAGCUGGGCUGGGGCCUGUGGCUACUUCCAUGCGACUUUGCACGGCUGGGCUGGGUGUUCGGCAUCGGUGAGUUGGUGGCGUGGAGAGUGGGGGGUGCGGGAGGCCUGGCGGCGGAGGCCGACAGGUGGUGCAGCACACGUGUGUGUAUGCGUGCUGAGCGCGUGUGAGCAACGGCCUGCGCUUCCCGCUCUUUUCGCGCCCCGCCCCACCCCUCCUUGCCCCUUUCUGACCGCUCAACGUUUCUCCUUGUUACCGCAGUUGUCCUGGCUCUGCUCGCCAUCGCGACCUCCUACUCGGGCUCCCUCUUCACGCGACUCUAUGGCGCGGUGCCGCAGGCUGGUGAGUCGACCUGCGCAACCCUUCCCUCCCUCUUUGUUUACAUGGCAUGCUUGGUCCCGCACCCUGGCUACUCCCAGUUUGCUUGACUAUGCCCUUGGACGUUGCGUCAAAGCGCCUGCCUCAAAAUGCCUGAAAGCCAACUGGCGUGUGCUUCUGUUGCGAACUGAUCCCGCCGUUUCUGUUUGCCAUCCACAGUCCUGUUUGGUGACGUCGGUGACGCCGCCGCCGGGCGUGUCGGCCGCAUCUCCGUCUACAUAACCAUCUACAGGUAAGAACUUCAUAGUUCAUACACGCGCGUCUGGCCUAGAACCUCCGCCUGUGUGCGAAAUGCUCCGUAUGACCUCUUCGAAACGGCUUUGUGCCAGGUUCCCAUGCACGCACGCCUCUCACACGACUGCGCAGUCCCACCUUCCUUGCAGAUGUUGUCCCACGCUCUCUUACUCCAAGCGCGUGCGUCCCACCAUGCUAACCCGCCCGCUUCUCCUGGCGCCCUUCCCCUCGCCUCGCAGCCUGGACGCCACGCGCUGCAUCAUCUUGCACCUGGCGGCCACACAGUCGCUCUUCCACGCCCUGUCGCCCUCGCUGCAGCAGGUGCUGCCGCUCUGGCAGUGCUCCGUAAUCGUUGCGGUGGUGGUGCUUCUACUUGGGCAGAUCCGGUGAGCCUGCUGAUCCCACUGCCUGCAUGCCAGCUUCUCUUGACCAGCAGCUCAAGCGCGCCAGCCAGCCCCACACCCUUGCCCCAAGCGCGUGCAAAGUGCAGCCACACCAUGUCGGAGCUAGUCACUCACACAUCCGCCCCACCCCCCUCCCGGACCCUGCUGCCCGCCCCUGCUGUGCACACGCACACACAUGCGCCCAGGUACUUGACGCAGCUGUCCUGGUUCUUCAUGACCGGCACUGCGGCGCAGCUGGUUGCCAUCGCCAUCGUGGUGUACGACAUGCUCCUCUAUCGCGGUGAGUCACGGGCCGGCAGCCUGCUACGUGGUGUUUUGCUUGGUUUGACUCUGCGUGCCCACUCUUGUGUGUUUGCGCGUGUUCAACGUGCCAGUGCUUCCGGGGUGGCCCGGCACAAUCCCCAUCUACAUCAAUGGUAGCACCUCUGCCAGCAGGUCCGACCCCACCCCUCUCAAUCCCUGCACAAACCCACUCUUCGCCCCCACGGCCACUUCCCCCUCGUUCGGCUUCAGGAUCCCCCGGCGAGGGCGGUGACGCCAGCGACGCCGCGCUGCACCUGGGCGCCACCCUUACCGCUGAGAGGCACCAGGAGCUCGUGUACGACAGCCCACUCUUCCCCUCGGAUGUGUCGACCAGCAACUGGACCCCCGCAGCCAUGGCCGUGCUCAACAUGAUUUUCGGUGAGUGCGGCGCGUAACUGACAGGGCUUUGAGCGGCGGUGCGGUGUCUUAUUUGGAGCUGCACUACCAGCAAGCCCUCGCCGGGCAACCGCUACCAUCGGAAGGACACAAACCCACUCACGCCAUCACCGUUGACCCGACUCCUACCCGGACCUGCCCAAUGCCCGCAGCAUACGGCGGCCAGUUCGCCUUCCUGGAGAUCAUGUCCAGCAUGCGCACGCCCAACAACUUCAGCAAGGCAGUCAUGAUGUGCACCGGCAUCAUGACCGCACUGUACGGCGGCUUCGGCGCCAUCGGGUAAGCACGCGUGCCGCCGCGCCCUGCUGCUGCCCUGUCUCAGCAGGAAGGUGUGGGGGCUCUGCGCAUAGAUGCAGAUACAAGCGCAUGUGCCUGCAUGGGCAGGUGUUUACGCCUGCUGGUGAUCUUAGAUUUGAUGCUUUGGGUGCUUAUGUGCGCUUGUUGGGUCCAUCCGUGGGAUCCAUCAGAGGCAGGCACCGGUCCUGACACGGGCACUGACGCGCUUUUGUCGUGUUACUUUGGUUUUACGCAGGUAUUGGAGCAAGGGCGCGAGUGUGCACGGCAUUGCCGUGUUCAGCAUGCGUGCCGGUGUGCUGGCACAGAUCGCUGCUGCCUUCAUCUUCUUCCAGGUAUGUGAAAGAGGACACUUCUUUUCGUAUUCGUGUUCCAACCCCCACGCGCCCGCAGAUGCACGCCCAUCUAGCUCGAGCAGGCCUCUCAGCUGUCAACCAUCCAAUGCCACGCCCACGUCAUCUUGCUUCUGCGCGCCCCCCACAGGCGCUGGCCCAGUACCUGGUCAACCUGAACGUGUGGACGCACAACCUGCUGGUGCUGUCGUCACGCCGCAGCAAGCGCCCCAGCAACAGCGGCGAGCUGUGGGACGAGGUGCGUUGUCAGUUCACCGGUCAGGGGUGGGGGAAGGCUGCGUUCGGGAGAUGAAGAUGGGCAGGGUUGUACUUGGCGGAAGGCAGGGAGAAGUGCCAUUCACGAUACACGAGGCUACCUUCACUGUGCCGCGGCUUUGCUGGAAGCCUUGCCUGACACGCGACCUGGCCGCCGGUCUACCUGUCCCCCUGCAGGACAACUCCCGCGCCGGCCACAUGAGCACUGGUGACCACUCGAGCGGCCACGUGAGUUCCCGCACCGCGGCUGGCUGCACAGUGCACCCACAUUCACACACUACACAUCAGGGCCGUCGCCUUGAAGCGCUCUUCAACAGCAAGUGGCAAGCUUACAAAUCGCACGAUCAAAAUGCCGACCUUGUCUCACGCACCCAAUCCUGUUUUCCCGCCCUGUACAGUGGCUGGCGGCGACUGCCUUCGUUGCGGCAUACUCGGCCGUGAUCGCGGUGGCGGUGCCCUUCUUCUGCACGCUAGGUGAGAGAACACGCGGUGCUGCUACGCGCAACAUACAUCUAGCUGCCAGCCAAUGGAUGCACCAGGGUGCGUGCUUAGGCCUGCAGUCGUACCUCUAGCGGUAUGAAUAGACAGUUCUAAUGAGCAGACCGGCAUUCGCCUCGUCCACCUCGCACCGUACCCUGCUCUGACACGCUCCCGCUCCCCCAAACUCUGCCGCCUGUCCUGCAGUCGGCCUGGUCACCUCGGUGACCUACCUCACCACCGCCUACACGCUGCCCGCGAUUUUCGCGCUCAAACUCUUCCCCAACAUGAACACCGUGGAGAAGUGGUGGCUGAAGGCGCUCAUUCCGAUCUCCAUCAUCCUGAGCUUGAUCGGAUUCGUGGCGUCCAUUAAGACGUACAUGAUCGAGGCCUCAGGCGGUGAGGGCAUGUAAGGGCACGGUCUAGGCAUACAUACGUAAGGGCGCGGCGUGCGUGCAUGGAAAUAAUGAUGGCCGGUUGGCCACUGAUGUGCUUCGGCGUCCUCCAAACGGAGAAUGCGGCCACGAUGCAUCUACGCCGCCCUAGAGAGUUUUGUGGAUGAAGCCGGCACUGCACUCUUCGAGUGCAAUACUGGGCCGUGCAUUUGGCAAGGCGGGGUCGCGAAGGGUAUGUGGUGAUGCUCUGCGCGCCCGUCCCGGGGUGUUGCGGCAUCGUGCUCGUUGUGCCGGCGCCAUCGCACGGAGGCCGCGACAGCGAAAAAAGCAGCUUGCAAAAGCGGGGUUGCCAAGUUUUAGGGUGGUCAUUUCUAUGCAUAUGCUGUCGGGGUGAAUUGUGUUGCGCGUGUUCGCAUACGGUGGGAUGAAGCCAUUGGGACGCGCAGCGCUGCCUGGGUUGGACAGCGGCGAGAUGGUUAUUGCGCAAUGCUGUCUUCGCUGCGUUUGGAGGGGAACAUGCAUUCUGAGGGCGUUGCAGGGACACAUGGAGGUGGGCCGCACGCAGGAAGACGUUUGUCAGGUACACGUGAGGAGGUGUGACUAAUGAACAACGGAUCAGGCAGGCGGCAUCGCUCCGUCAGACCCAAUGGAAAUACGAACGCGCUGCAACCUCGUCGAGGAGGUCGCAUUUGCGUUGGCGGUGAGGUAGGAACAGACGCGGUGCGUGAGCUCCAAGUUUUGCUGCGUGAUAAUGUUUCUGUUGCGCCCACUUUUGCAUGCAGUUGCUUGGGAGAAGGGUAGCGCUGGUUACGGUUGGGGUGUAGUGUAUGGCUGCCAUAUGUCGAUAGAGCGUGGGACUGUGGAAAGAGUACAACGUAAGUUCAGGCGGCAGGACCUGCGGUCUUCGGUGUGCUUGAGGCAAACCAUGAUCAAACCUGUCUACACGAAGUGGUUCCCUGUCUGGCGGCAGGAGGAAAACCCGUUUGCCACGGGUCUGGAACGCAGCAUGGGGACGCUGGCCGCCACGAGUGUUUGCGGAAGGGCCGAGGAGCGCCGGGAAUGGAGUGGCGUGGGAGGGGGAGAGGACGCCUGCCGUGUGCACAGAUUCAAAGCACCGUUAAGCGUUAUCAGGGGUGCAAGGUUCCGUGUGCACGGUCAGGGGUGAUGCUAGAGCAAGUCGCCAAACGCUAAACCCUAGUUAUUUCAUUCUUACUAUCGUGCUAUGUAGGAGGCGCUGUGUGAAUGCGCAUGGUAAGCCGGCGUUCCGCGCCACGGGCUCACCUGUUCCGCGACGAAAUGGGGCAUGUGGCAUUUGCUGCACUGCUGCGUCCCCUGUCCGUGGCUGCGUGUGCGUAAUGAACUGCAUCUUACGGGAAACUUCUUGUCCAGAAGCGAACUGUAAAGAUCUGGGUACCGUAUGUAUGAUCCACCUGCGUCUCAAAGAGUUCUCCGCGCAAGGAGCUCGUCAACGGCAUGCAGACGGCUGAUGGGAUGCACUCCUCGCUGCCUGCCACUACCGCCGGCGCGCUGUAGCCCCAAAGACCGCAGCCGUCACCCUUUCAAUGGAUGUCGUAGCAGGCCUAUCCUUGAACAGGAGCGCUGCAGGCCAGGCCGAAUGCCCAGUAAACACCCCAAGCAUUUGGCCUCACUUUGGAGCAAGCGAGAGGGCUGGACAGGGGUAUCCGUUGUGCGCACACGCCCGCGUCAAGUGAACCCACCACCACCAGCCGCUGGCCCGCAGGUCAAAGAUGGCUAUAAGGCCACGGUACCAUCCCGUCAGCGACCGUUCUGGAACCAGGUGUGCCAACUGCGAGCAACCGCGUGCAAAGGAUGCAGAACGUUUUCCUCAACGAGCACCGAACGCAGGCCUGAUUCGUUUGCUGAGUAGAGCAGGCAACCAAGAGGGUAAUUUUGGUGACGCUCAGGCUGCGUAUGGAUCGUCUUGUUGCAUUCCUGCAACCGACAACCGACGGCCUUGUGGCCUGGUGCGUUUCGCCGCUUCGCCCGCCACCCCCUCCCCCGGCCCUUGCCGCCCCCGCCCUCCUGCAUGCGCCCCCAAGGCAGGCCUGUUCUUGCUAGAUACUUUGAGCGCCGUCCAAGAUCACCAAAUAGCAAGGGCUAACUAGGUUCACACGCUAAGGGCGUUGCCAGCAAAUGCCAUGGCCCGGUGCACUGGCACGCGGCGGGAUAUCCUCAAUGUCUUGCGCCCUGGGACAGCCUGGCAUUGGGUGCACGCGCCCAUGGAGCCCUGGGGCCCGAGCAGCCGCGGCCACAGCUCCUCCUGCACCGGAGGGUGGGGCACUGCCACAGCCGCGCCAGGGUGCCCUUGUUGGCAACCAAGGUCGCGGCUUGCUGCUGCUGCCGGCGGUAGGUCUUCCCGCCAAAAGGGGCAGUGGGCCUGGCACGCUCGUCCGGUCCUCGUGGACGGAGGCGGACAGGCCGUGCCGCCGCCGCGCUGCCUAGCUAGGUGCGUGGACCUAGCCAUGCGGACAUACAGCUUCGGCAGCUUCAUUCGCCAGGCGGAUUGCGUGAGCGGUGGGCCGUGCAGCGGCCAACCAUUCUUGGCAUGGUUUUGAUGAGGACAGCCGCACUAAUAAUGGAUGGCGCAAAAGCACGCCAUGGACCUGCGCCCGCCAGUCUGCUCUAGACCGAGCGUGGGCCACAGCGGCGCGUUGAUGCACCAGUCUCCGCCUCUCCGGUGCUGGGUACCUCCUCCAGCUCCUGCAUCGGCGGCAGCGCUCCCAGUAGUCAAGGCCGUACCGUACAUCUGCACAGCUUCAGUAACUCAGUAAGCAGGUGGCCCCAGCAUGGUCCCGGCGGCGCCCGCCGGCUCUGGCACCACCACCUGGGCGCUCCUAUUUAGGGGCGGAAAGCUGGAUGGUGACUGCACAGCGAGGAAGGCGAUGUAGGCAGCGCACCCGGGCUGGGAUGCUGGGGGUGGGUGGUGGGAUCGCCUCGUAGAGUGGCAAGGCGUGUGACCCAUAUCACGUGUAUGCCGCGCGCGCGCAUGCUGCCUGGUGGCGGGGUGGCCAAUGCGCCGUGCCUCUGUCGCCGGAGUGGCCGUAGGUAUUGCAUUGGUUACAACAGGGGCCUGCUAACGGAGCUCAUCACGAGCGGAAUCUGCUCUAGACCGUAUAGGAGCGAGCACUGUGUUGGCUGGGGUCCUUUCAGGUGCUGCUCUGUGGAGCGUGGGGCGAGCCGGCGGUCUACACCUCGUGCUAAGAUUCAAAUCCUGGGCUACGUCCUCCAGCAGACCGCUGUGUCCUAUGCGCCACGUCACCAUAACGUGCAGCACCAUCCUCUCAGAUGAAAGCAGGUUGGCGAAGUAAGGACGCGGCACUGGCGAAGGGCCCUGGGGCCCAGGUCAGCGUCACGUAUGCCGUGGGCGCCGGAUGGGCUCCUGUCAGCGUGCUAGCAGUUCAGCUGCAGCUGUGUCGGGGUCGCCGCUGAACUGGAAGGACUGAUGUGCCCCCGCUCACGAUCGAAGGACGUCGGGGCGGGAGUAAAGGGAGGCGACGCAUGCGCGUAGGUUGACGCUUCUCAUGAAAUGGCACAGGUCAAGGCCAGUGAAGGGUAUUGCGACACAUCCGGUGUAAGCAACACCUUGAUACACUGUCAUGUUGGGGGUGCCCAGAAACGACGUGCCGGGUUGACACGGUACCGCGACGAAUGAAGGAUCGGUCAGGCCGACAGGCCCCUGCGCGUCCUUGCACAUCUGCGUACACUAAACUGGCAAAACCAUAUGCGCAUACAUACACCAACACCUUUCGGUAAUAUACCCUGGUACUUAAGGAGCUCGGCCUGAGCCUGGACCCAGGCCAAAAAUGUCGCGGUCGGUGCAGAGCUGAGCCGCGCCUUAAUAAGCUGAGUGUACCAGAUGUACGUAAGAUAAGCUUAAUUAUCUAGGGAAAGCUGGACAACUUUUGGGACAGCCCCAGCGUCGCUCAAAAUGUCUCGCGCCACCAGCACAAGUCGCUGGCGAUCGGCGCUUGAACGCUUUCCAUCGCACGUGGAAGAGGCUAAGGGGCCAGAUGGCAAGAUACAGAGGGGGUGGCAUCACCUGGAGCUCCGGGUGAGUUCAUCAUCUGGACUAAGGGUGGUUGGGGCAAGAAAAGUUGCGGGUCGGCGCAGUGGGUUACGCGCCUGCUGAUCGUGCUUUCUGGUGUGGAUCAUUAUUAUUUAACUAUCAAGCUAUGUGAAGCGCGCGGCCGCUUCAAGUACUAAACCGGUUGCGUGUUCAGCUACAGUAGUCCUGCCGUCCGAACUUGGCACACACUCAACCCCACAGAUCGCCGCGGAGCUCUUGCGCAUCGGGCCUUACCACAGUGCUGACGAUCACUGGGCACCUACGGACUGGCAGCUACUGCUGGUGGUGUCCGAGUACAUGUCUGCGCUGUUGGAGGUGCGUGGUGGCGUGCGUGGUGCGUGGGGGUGCGUGUCCGUAACCACGUAACCUGUGAACGACGCACGCGUGGAGCAAAACCACUGCAAACCCGUUGGAGCAUCUACGCUCCUUUACAUGCAGGUCACCGUGCGUGUUACUUGCAUCGCAAUAAGCAAGUCACUCUGCGGUGAUUCAGUGCCUGAUGCGCCUAUCUCCCCGUAACCAUACGUUGCUUUAUUACCUUCCCUCGCUACCUUCGUUUUCCCUUCCGCAGUUCCUGGACUGGUUUUGGCCCGAGAUGGGCUGGGAGCAGCAUAAGCAGGCCAUCGUGCUGUCCAAGCGCCUGCUGCAGCCGCGCAGCCCCAACACUUUCCCUAGCCUGCCCAUCGACCCGCAGCUGCACGCGGCGUGGCGCGCCUUCACCUACUGCUUCUGGCACGGCACGAGGCACAUGUCUUCGUCGGCCCCGGCCGGCAUGUCGCAAGCCCCCUACACUGCUGCGCGCGAGUGGCUGACCAAGCUGGUCGGAGAUAAGGGGCUUGAGAGCGACGGCCAGAUAGUCUCGUCCCUGCAGAACUGGCUGGAGGUGGGCACGGCGGCACAUGCACAAACGGAAAAUCAUGCUGAUGCAUGGGCAUGCAGCUUGCAAGAGAAGGUAUCCCAACACAAUGCGCUGCAGCCGCCAUCUAGCAAUACUGGCAGCAGUGCGCGUCCUUGCUCACCGGUAUCACACUUGAUUGGACGGCUUGAACAGGCAAUGGGGCCGCGGCUGCGCGACGCUUUCCCCAACGCGCCCAUCGACUGGGCCCAGUGGCCGGCGGUGACGUGGCCGGACGCGGAGUGCGGCUGCCGCUCGGUGGAGAAGCGUGGCGCGGUGAAGCGGCAGACGGAGGAGGAGUACGCGGUGCGCUGGCCGCUGCGCGUCACGCAGGGCCGGCCAAAGGUGCGUCAGCGGCGGACCAGCAGCAUGUGCGCACCUGGAUCGAUAAGGGGAAUGAACCGUGCAGUUGUACAGGCAGCAGCGCACUGCUCAUUUUAUUUGUAGCGUUUGUAUUGAAAGACAUAAUUGGCACCCUGCAUGCAAGCAAUGCUGUACGGAACACAUGCUGGCAGCAGCAGCACGCAUCUACCAGCGCACACUAUCUAGCGCACACUAGCGCACACUGGCGCAACUUGUCGAUAGUUCACACACGCAACCUGCGCGCACGUCAUUCGGUUGUUCCGCUGUCUCAGUUCAACCACGCCAAGGUGGAGGCACGUGACGGCUUCAGUGUGGGCAUCCCCUCCGUCAAGAACCCGCCCGCCCUUGGUUUCCUGGCGGUCAGCGACGUCAUGUGCGCCUUCAAGCAGGUGAGCAUACGUGCGUGCAUUCGCUGGAUGGAAGGUUCCGUGAAGAGUGCGCGCGCAUGCGUGUCCUCUGCUGCUGGCAGGGUGCGUGCAGAUAGAAUCAUUUUUUGCUGUGAUUGUAUGUGCAAGUAAAAAGGAUGAACGCGCGCGGGGAUUAUGAUGCGGUAUGUAACGUAUGGGGAUGGCGGGUUGUUGGUGCCCAUUACAAUUUUAACCCAGCUGCCGCUGCGGGGCAGACACCCAACAUAUACAUGUAUGGCAGGUAGGCCUCAUAAGCAGUUCGUGACAUUCAUUCUGACGGUCUAACCAAGUAUAACCAACACACUACUUUGAUAGCUCCUGCUGCACUACAUACCGGCAACGGAAGAGCAAAAAUUGCCAAAGCCUUACAUCUCUCAAUGCACGUGGUCCACGCAUACACAUCCUCACGCAUGGCGUCGCACGCCCUCCACCCUUGGAACAGUUUCUAAGACCCUGCUUCCCCACAUCCAGCUGACUUAACACAUUUCCCAUCCGUAACGGUUCUUCCGAGCACCCGCCUGGGGAUGCAAUAAUCCUGUCUGGUAUUGCCCCUGGUGUUCCGGGUAGUUUAAGGGAUUUCAGGAUUGCCCACGCACGCGCAUGCUUGAGUAAUUUUCUCCACACACCUGCUGACAUACACACGCACCUGCCCAUACAUUGCAUGCACAGGCAACGCAGCACUGGCCGUCCGCACCCCCCUCCACGCCGGCGCACGCGGCGCAGCAGGAGGUGGUGCACAGCUUCGUGACCAACGUGCUGCGCGAGACGCGCGGCCCCCUAGCGCCCGGCAUUGGUCAUGAGCAGUUCAAGUGAGUCUCAUCCACAGCGCUCGCUUCACGAUUCAUAAUGCAAGCGCUCUGCAACAGUGCAUACAAGCCGUACAGCACGUGCACACGUAUGCACAUGCUGCCGUGCGCUGUGUCAUUAUGAGUUACGACAAGCAUGCUUGUGUGCGUGUGUAUGUGUGCUGCUAAGCUGGGGACAAAGUAAGCGAGUCCUUGGCUUCUGGCAUCGCACUUGUAUGUGCCGUAUGUUGGAUGAACCUGUCCACCACAACUGCUCCGUAUUCUUCGUGCUUGCUUCACUGCAACAUACACGAAUGCAAGCAGCCCGCCCUCGCUGGUAGUAGCUAGUCCCCAGCCAUACAGCUAUCUGCUGCUGCUAUCUGCGUCGUACCAGUGCUCCUACCCGCCUGCUGUGCUCACCUGUGCCGCCCACAGGUACCUGGGCUACGUGGCCUGCUGUGUGCAGGGCUGGCAGAACGCGCUGCCGCACAUCGAGGCCCUGGUCCGCGCAUCAGCCUCCCUGGGGGCCAUGCCGAUGGUGUUCCCCGGCACAGCCGAGGCCAACGCAGCCGCCGCGGCGAUAGGCGCGCCCAUGACAAUGGGGCUGCUGAUGCCGCCGCCCUCCGCCGCCGGCCCAGGCGUGCAGCAGCAGCAGCAGCACGGCGGCGGCGGUGGCGGCCAGCCGCCGGCGGGGCAGAUGCUGCUCCACCAGUCCAGUGGGCUGAGCCAGCAUCAGCAUCAGCAGCUGCAGCAGGCAGCGGCAGCGGUCGCACAGCAGCAGCAGGGCGGCGCGAACGGAGGCGGUGGGGCAGGCGGUCUGUCUGCGUUUCUUAACACGGGCGGCCCCGUGAUCGGUGGCUUUCAGGAGCUCCUGGGACUGCAGAACGCCAACGGGUUGCAGCCGCUUUCGUUGCGACAGCAGCCGCAACACCAGCAGCAGCAACAACAACAACAACAGCAGCAGCAACAGCAGAACUUUCUGCAACAGCAGCAGCAGCAGCAGCAGCAGCUGUUCCAGCAGCUGAUGGCGCCUCAACAACAGCAGCAGCAAUACAGUAAUUCACUGCAGAUGGCCGCCGGCGGGCCACCGGUGAGCCGCACGCGCCCCAGCCCCUUCACUCGCAGCACGUCGGGGGCCAUGGGCAGCGGCGGCAGCCGCUCCGCCGGCACUGUGUCGCCCAGCGCCUCCCUGGACGAGCUGACGCAGUACCAACAGGCCUUCGCUGCGCAGCAGGCGCUGGCGCAGCAGCAACAGCAGCACCAGCAGCGCAUGCAGCACCAGCAGCAGCAAGGCCAGGGCGGUGGUGGCGGUGGAGGGCCGCAGCAGCUGCCGCCGCUGCCGCAGCUGCAGCCGCCGGGUAUGAAUGGGAAUUCGUACUUGGGUGGACAGUACGGACAGCAGUACGGUGUGCCGUACAGUGCGCCGCCAGCCACCGGCGGGGCGCAUGCGGGCGGCGGCUACAUGCCUUUCAUGAAGCCCCCGUCCCUCAGCGCCACCGGCCCGGCGGGCGCGGACUUCCCGGCCCAGCCGCCCUUCCCAGUCUUCCCGAUGCCGCCGCCGCUGCAGCAGUCAUCUCCCGACGUGUCGCCACAGCCCUGGGCCACUGUCACCUUUGAGCCGCUUGACCCGCAGGCCGUGCAGCAGCAGCAACAGCAGCAACAGCAAUUGCAACAGCAGCAACUGCAACUGGCUAAUACGCCACGGGUGAUCAUCACGCCGCUCAUCAACGGUGACAAGUCCCAGCAGCUGCCGGAGCAGACGACGCAGGGCCAGCAGCAGGGGCAGUCCGGACAGCAGGGCCAGUCAGCGCACACGAUUAGCAUGCUCAGCAACACCCUGAUUUCGGUGCAAGUGCACCCGCUUCCCCCUGCUGGCGGCCAGCAGCCGCCGCAACCACAGCUGCAAUCGCAGCAACCGCAGUCGCACUCACAGCAGCAGCCAGCGCAGCAGCAGGGCCCCGGCGGCGCAGCGGGCGCCGGCGGCGCAGCGGGCGGAGGCCCCCAGCACAUGGACGGCGGUGCGGCCCCCAUGAGCCUGGGCGGCCUCAGCUCCAUGCAAGACCUGCUGGAUGAGCUGCCAUCGCAGCCGGAUCAGUCCUGGUUCGCCUUCCUAGACACUCUGGCAGCCGGAGGCGCCGGCGCCGCCGGCGCUGCGAUGGGCGCUGCCGCCGCGGCGGCAGCGGGCGCCGAAGGCGCAGCAGCGGCAGCGGCAGCCGCUGCGACCGGCAGCGCAGCGCCUGCUGCUGCCGGCGGCGCUGCGGCAGCCGCCGAUGGCGUCUUGGCGCACCUAGCGCUGCCGUCCGGGCUGCCGCAGACGAUGGACUUCAGCAAGGUCCUGUCGCGAGCGGCACAGGGACGCGCCACCACGCCCUUCAUGCAGCCACCCGUGGUCACCAUCAUGCCUGCUGACGCAGCUGCAGCCGCGCGACUGCAGCAGGACCAACAGCUGCAGCAGCUGCAGGCGCAGGCCGCGUCGGCGGCCGCCGGCGGUGACAGCCCGAGCCCCUCCCUAGCCCCCGCUGCCGAUAUGGCCGGGGCCGUGCCGGCCCCCGCUGCCACGGCGGCCUUUGGCCUGCCACCUCCCCCGCUGCUCCUGAGCACUGGGUCCUCGGGCACGGCGGCGGCUGGGCAGCCAACCACCAUGGACGGGCGCCAGCUGCUGCCGCCGGAGUCCUCCCCGCUGCAGCAGCGCAGCUCCGGCGACGGCAAGGGCGAAGGCGUGUUUGACAUGGUCUCAGUCGAAGGCGGCAGCGGUGACGACGCAGCGGCGAUGGCUCUGACCGGCCUAGAUGGCGGUGUCCUGACCGGGAAUAGCGACGAGAGCGGCGGCCGCACCAUUGCCAUGACAAUGAGCGGCGGCGACGGGAGCGCUGGCGGUGGCGGCAGCGGUCGCGGCCGAAAUCGGAGCGCCAGCGGGGCCGCGGGCGAGGGCGACGGGGAGGGCGAGGGCUUCAGUGGAGGCAGCGGCUCCCUCCGUCGGGCCCUCGCUGUGGCGCGUGGUAGCGGUGGCGCAGCCACUGGGACUUCGGGCGGCACCGACGGCAGCAGCCCGGACUCGUCCACCAUUGGAAGCUCUCCGGUCACCGCGGAUGAGGCCAACCAGCAGGCGACCAAUGCGGCGGACGAGGCAGGCGGCGCGGAGGGUGCCGCCCAAGGAGACGCAGCAGCGCAACAGCAACAGCCACGGACAAUCCUGGCGCCCGCACUAGCGCGACCGUUCAUCUCGCAGGGCGCGCAUCCGCACGUGCAGCAGCAGCCGCUGGCAGGCCGGCGCACGCGGGAUGACGCCGCCGCGGCUGCGGCUGCGGAUGCUGCGGCAGCCGGGCUCGUGUCCGCCCCUGGAUCGAUGAACGAGCGCCGGAGGAAGCGCGCAAAUGCGCAGGUACGUUUUUAUGCCUACCGUACGUAAGUACGUGGCUAUGAACCGGUGGUGGGGCAUAACGGCUUCACCAUUGCGCCUUUGGUACCCGAUUUAGCGUGCUGCAGAGGCCGUCGCGUGCACAUAUCUCGACAGCACUUGCUUCUGCCCCCUGCCCCUCGCGUCAACUGGUAUGGCACGCACCUCUCACCCCCUACUCUUGGGUGGGGCGGCGAUUCCUUAACUGCUGGGACCUUUUCCUUUGAGCUCCGGCAAAUAACCCUCACCCCCCAUCACCACUGCCCUGCACGACUGCGCUCACCGCAGACGGACGUGGUGGUCUCCGUGGAGCGAGUGGAAUCACUGGACGUGCUAAUCGGCGCUGGCGGCGGCAACAUCAACGUCGGACUGAGCGCCAGCGUCGGCGGCGUGAUGCCCAGCGGCCGGCUGCUCAACACGCUGCUGCCGUCGGGCCUGACGCUGCCGCUGUCCUCGCCGGGGAUACAGGUCAGCGGCAGCGCCGGCGGCAGCGGCAACGGCAGCACUGAGGCGCGCGGCCCGGCGACCGACGUGUCUGCCUUCACGGCCGCCGCCGCAGCGGCGGUGGCGGCAGCGAAUCUGCCCACGGACGGCGGGCCGUAUGCACCCAAGCCUGAGCAGCUGAAGGUGCGGCUGGUGUCGCUGCUGCGGGAGGCGGAGCUGUUGGCGACACAGCUGGCGUCCCAGGACCCAGCGGGCACGCGGGCACUGGUGGUGGCGGCGCUGAAGGGAGGCAGCCUGAUUGGGAACUGGUGCUCUGCGCCGCCUUCGCAGCAGGGCUCGGGCGCAUCUGGUUGACCGGGCCACGGGCGCAGCAAAUGGCAGCAGCGGUAAUGGCGCCGCGCAGGAUAGGAGCACCCCUGCAGCACAUACAGCGGGAGAGGGGAUGGGCGAGUAAGGUGGCGGCGCGUCCAGACCGUGUGUGUACGUGCGCGUGUGUGAGUGGUGCAUGGCGCUGAGUAGAGACUACGGCAGCGGACGCGUGCAGUGCGGAUGCCACGGCGCUGGCGACGAUGGCAGCCGCGGCGGCUGUGCUGCGAGCCGGCAACUCCGAUGCGGAUGUGAUUGCGGCAGCGCGGGGCCUCAAUUAGGUCAGUGGUGCGAGAAGGCCGACGGAGGCAGCGGCAACGGCAUGGCGGUGGCCUCACGCUAGCUACGACGUACAUACAGGAUGUUGCGCAAUGUCCGCAGCUGCACUGUGUGCCUCGCUUGCAGCGGGGUAGCAUUUGGAAAGGGUAAGGCAUGCUGGAUAGUAUAACUGAGGUCUAAAACGCAACUAUGGGAUUGUAGGCCCUGAACGGCUCCAGAACCUGAAAUUGAGUGCCCACGGUGGAGCGUCUGCAGCGGGGCCCUAGGGCUUUCUGGUUGACGCUAUGCGAGGGUGUGCUGUCCUUGUGUGCUUUCCACGUGGGGGUCAGUUUGCGUGAAUGGAGUUGUCAUUGUCGUAGUAUUCAUAAGAAUCAUUGCCGUGCGGUUUGCGGGAGGUUUGCUCUCCCGUACUGCUGCGUGCCCUACUCCAGCGUGUAUGCAAUGCAGCGGAUGGUGGUCUAACGCAUGGCUGGACGUUUGGGGAAGAGGUUUCAUUCACGUCGUGCAUUGCGCAUUCCAGCCCGCAUGUACCGCCAUGGGAAUGUCGGGAUAGGUCUGAUCGUUGAUACGCCCGUUCGUGUCUUAAUUUGCUGACGUCAUUCGGAGAAGGUGUGUGUGGCUUUAUGUACAUUGUUGUGGCUACUUACAUCGGGAUAGAGGCUCGAAACCGCACAAGCUGGCGCUUGGCGCACCGCUAACCUUUGCCUCUGUAGGUUGGCAGCGGAUACGUAAUACGGGAAGAAACAUCUGAAGCACCGGUUGUGUUGCCAGCUGCGUGCGUGUAAUCGCGUCUUCCGACCUUUGGCCGGUCGGUGAAAGGGUCGGUCGGUCGGACAUUCGGCCGUAGACGGUGGGCGUGCAGAGCUAGCUGUUGCGUGCUGGCAUGCGGUGCCAUACGGCACGGUUUGACCUCUGAGUUGUGCAACCAUCCCCACCUGUUUCAACAGUGAGAAUCUAAAACAUGGGAGAUAGCGAACGAGAGUAUGUGACUUAACUUUGAAUCCAAGGCCGGGACAGACUGGGAUGUAUUGUGUGGUGUGAUUGGUACUGGACGUGCAUACGGUAGCGGAAUGCAUGGCUUUGCCCAGCCCGUCUACCAGCAUGAGUCCGCAUUCCGCAUCCAGACCUAAGCAGGAACACGCAUGGCAAGAAUGAUGGGUUUAUGGGACAAGGUGUACGUGCGCCAAAGCGCAGGCUGCGCGGAGCAGUUGCGCCUAAUAAUGCGUCGGUUCGGGUUCGCGUGGUUGUAUGGAUGUUUGUUUUCUCACUUGCCAUGCUUAUGCCAGAGACAUGCGGGUUUGUGCGCACAUACACAUGUUCGUGGAUCGUACUUCUAUGAAGUGUGUAAAUCCAACUGACCUUAUGGUUUCUGGCUGCCGAUGCUGGCUUGUUGCCAGUGCCUGGGGGGCCCAGGGUACGUACUGUGGGGCGUGGGCACACAGAUGCGCAGAUUGUUGGCGUGUCGUGGUCAAGUGUAAGCUUUGAUGAUGUUAACAUGCGACUGAGCUCUCACGUACCGAUAAUGCAGUUUGGCCGGGUGACGAUAAAGCCGGGGCUGGCUGCGCAAACGGGGCGCAGGAGCGCCGGGCACUGAGGGGCGCCAGGCAAUCGUGUCAUGUCGCUCUGACCAAAUGCUGGCUCAAAUCUUUUGUAUAGACUAAACUUCUACGUUAGAAACCUUGAGUGCUUCAAUGAGAAAACGCUGGGCCCCGAGGAGUAAGUGCUUCGCAACUGCGCGUGCAAGGGGCCUGACAGUGGGAGGCCAAGCAGAAUUUAUGAGCAGGCUACAGCGUACAGUACUUUGACUUGGCCUCAAGCGAGCCGCGCAACAACUUACUCCUCGGUGCAAACUUUUGACAAAGCUUGUCCCCUUGUUUCAAUGGCCAUCCUAAAGGACCAGGACCAAAGCACCAUGUCAGCGAAGUCUAGGUGGAAGUCGGAGAAGUUUCCGGCGCACGUUGAGGUAAGACUUCAGCCAUAACCUUCAGCCAUCGCGGCGACCGCUGACCGCGACGGCCGGCCGCCGGGCUUAAAUUAUCCGCGCAGGAGGCACGCAACAGCGAUGGAAACGUGCAUAAAGGAUUCAACCUUCUGGAGUUCAGGGUAAGUUGACGAGGCGUGCCCGGUCGCCAAACCGUGGUGGGCGAGCGGCACCCAGGUCCCCCCGCCCCCGCCGUUUGCCUCCUUGCCCCAUCAUGCUCGGGAGGACCUUGCUGGCCCCAUGGUUCAUACCUUUCUCGAAUAUAAAAUGUAACAAUGUGGCAGCGGUCUUACGUGUGAUGCCUUCCCUUGACCAGGUGGCCGCGGAGCUCCUGCGCAUCGGGCCGUACCACAGCACCGAGGAUUACUGGGCGCCCGUUGACUGGCAGUUGCUGCUGCUGGUUUCGGAGUACAUGUCUGCAUUGCUCGAGGUACUUACGGGUUGGGUCCCCAGUCCGAGCCUGCCGUGUAGGAGCAUCUUGGGUCGGCAGGGGCGCAACCCGACACUGCGACCACGCGAAAAGUUUUCGUCGCAUGUCAUUACUGCCGCUCGCUCGUGCUCCCAUUCCGCAGUUCCUGGACUGGUUCUGGCCCGAGAUGGGCUGGGAGCACCACAAGCAGGCCAUCGUGCUGUCCAAGCGCCUGCUGCAGCCGCGCAGCCCCAACACUUUCCCUAGCCUGCCCAUCGACCCGCAGCUGCACGCGGCGUGGCGCGCCUUCACCUACUGCUUCUGGCACGGCACGAGGCACCUGGCCGCGGUGACACCGGUAGGCGUGGCCACUGCCACCUACACCGCGGCUCGGGACUGGUUGAACAAGCUGGUGGGGGAGCGAGGCUUUGAGGAGGAGGGGCCGAUCACGUCCUCCCUUCUGAGCUGGACCGAGGUGCGGAGCGGCAGACAUGUUGGGCGUGUGGUGUUGAACGUUGGGAUGUGACGGAAGGGAGGGGCACACAUGAUGAGAGGUGCGCCCGGAGUACGCUACUUCCAUACUUGGUGGAUGGUGCCUGGGUCGGUGCCCUUGAGCAAGAAUGCGUGGGCUGUGUCGCGCGCAGUCGAUGGGGCCGCGGCUACAAGAGGCGUUUCCGAACACCAGCAUCGACUGGGCCCAGUGGCCGGCGGUGACGUGGCCGGACGCGGAGUGCGGCUGCCGCGCGGUGGAGAAGCGCGGCGCGGUGAAGCGGCAGACGGAGGAGGAGUACGCGGUGCGCUGGCCGCUGCGCGUCACGCAGGGCCGGCCAAAGGUGCGUCAGCGGCGGCCCGGAAUCUCAUUCCGCAGCCGCAUAACAGCGGGCCUCCGGGUUUCAUCAGUCGCAGCGUCACACCUGCGCCGUCCCGUUGGCGGCCGCCCCCCUUUUUAUCUUGCACCGAACCUCAGCACCAUGCAUGCCCUUCCCUUAAUCUUGCACCUAAUCUCCAUAUGCCCCUCCCCAGUUCAACCACGCCAAGGUGGAGGCGCGCGACGGGUUCGUGGUGGCCAUCCCCAGCAUGAAGAACCCGCCCGUGCUGAGCUUCCUGGCGGUGUCGGACGUCAUGACCUCCUUCAAGCAGGUGGGCUGGGCGGCAUGCGGGGUCGGGGGUGGUUAGCACGGGAUUGUGGGCUGUUGGGCGAACGGACGGAUAGGCUUGGUGGUAGUCAGUCCAAACUCCAAACUCGACCGACAUGGUCGGCUGCAUGGGUGUGGGCUGGGCUGCGAACGCAUAGCUCCGCUUGCUUUGGAGGCUCUUCAUGCGCUGCGCCAAGCUACCGUAAUGACAGCGCUCAGAGCAAGAGCCAAGCAUGGCAUACGGGUGUGCGGUGACGUAUUUAGGGCCAAGGACGCUGCACUUCAUUUGCAUGGAAUUUGUGUGCAUUCUCGCCACAGGCGGCGGCGCGCUGGCCGUCCACCACCGCGGACAGCCCCAGCCAGGCGCUGCAGCAGGAGAUGGCGCAGAGCUUCGUGCAGAACGUGCUGCGGGCGACACGGGGUCCGCUGGCGCCCGGCAUCGUGCACGAGCCGUACAAGUGAGCGAGGGACGCUUGGGCGCAGGCAGGGGUUGGCGCUUGGGCGCAUGCAAGGGGCUGGCAAGCCGGCAAACGCGGGCGUGCUUGCAACUGCGUCGCAACAGCACAUGGAAUUAGGCCCGGCGGUUGCGGCAUGGUGACUCCUCCUGGCCGUCCCCGCCGCUCAUUCUUGCAGGUACCUGGGCUACGUGGCCUGCUGCGUGCAGGGCUGGGAAACCGCACUGCCGCACAUCAUGUCCAUCGUGCGCGAAACGGGCGCGUGGGGGUCGCAGCCGCUACUGCUGCCCGGCGCGCCGCUGCAGACUGCCGCAGGGCUCUCGCAGCUGCUGACAGUGGCUGCCGCCGCACCGCCGCACCAUGCAUUCCUGCAGCCGCACGCGCAGCUAGGCCAGCCGGGGGCAGGAGUAGCGUACGGCGGCGGCCUGGGCGGUAUGGGGCCGGGCGGCGGCGUAGGUGGGCUGGGGCUGGGCAUGGCGGUGGGCGGGGCGCCGGAAGGCGGCCUGAGCCUGGGCAUCGCCGAGCACCUCGCCAUGCUGCAGCAGCAACACCACCACAUGCAGCAGAUGCAGCAGCAGCAACACAUGCAGCAAAUGCACCAGCUGCAGCAGCAGCAGCAAAUGCAGCAGAUGCAGCAGCAGCAGCAACAAAUGCAGCAGAUGCAGCAAAAUGCGGUGAUGGGCGGCGGGGCGAUGCACGAGUUGGGGGCGCCGGGCAUGUACGGUGGCUUUAUGCAGCCACAGCAGCAGCAGCCACUGCAGGCGCCGCAGUUGCAGCAGGUGCCGCAGAUGCAGCAGGCGCAGCCGCAGCAGGCUAUGACCGGCGCUGACCAGGCCCAGUUUGCUGCACCGAUCCCGGUGGUCACAGUGCACGCGCUGCCGAGCAGCGAUGCAGGGCCGACGAGCCAGGCGGCGACAGCAAACCAGGCGGGGCCGGUGUCUCAGGGCUCGGCGUCAAGCCCAGAGGGCAGCGCUGGCGACCCGCCCCAAGCCGCGGGGGGCGCGCGGGUAACGCGCACGCGCCCAAGCCCGUUCGCGGCGGCCGGCACGCGUAAGCCGGCCGCACCAACCUCGGCCGGCGCCGCGGCUGGUGGUGCCAGCGCAACCGCAGGCGCAGCCGCGGGCGGGCAGCUGGGGCCAAGGCAGGGCCAGGGCCAGGCGCAGCAGGGCGCUGGCGCCAUGGACGGCGGCGCGGCUCCCAUGAGCCUGGGCGGCCUGAGCUCCAUGCAGGAGCUGCUGGACGUGUUGCCCGAGCCCUCCAAUGUGGUGGACAUCAGCUGGAGCGCGUUGAUGGGCACCGGCACCAUGGGCAUGCUGGCCGGCACCGGCACCACCGCCAACCUCUUGCUGGAGUCGGGCGACAAGGCGGCGGAGCAGGCGGCGGCGGCAGGGCCAGGGGCGGCGGGCGGCGCUGCGGCGGGCGGCGCCGCGGGAGGGCCAGGGGCGGCCGCCGGUGCGGUUGCUGAUGGCCCCAAGGCGCAGCAGACCGCGGCGCCCAGCACAGGUGGCGUUCAAGCCCCGGCUGCUGUGCGGCCCGCCGGCCCCGCUUCAGCUUUCUCCGCUGCAGCUGGCGCCUGGGCUGCCGCGGGGCUGCAACCGGCAGCGGCUGGAGCUGCCGCGGCCGGCGCUGCCGCAGUGGGCCCUCCUACACUCUCUCCCAACCCGGCCUCGCCUGCGACGCAGCUGCAGCCCGGCUUCCUGCAGCCGGCCACCAUGCACACCGCUGGCGCGGCCGCGGCCGGCUCCGGGAUGGCCGGCCUGACCACCUUCAACAGCGCGAUGCCCCUGGGCGCGCGCCCCGGCGGUGAGGCCGGCCCCUCAGGCAUGGGAAACCUGGGCGGCUUCUCCUCCGUGCCGCUGUCGGCACCGGGGCGCGCUUUGGGCGGCCUCACGGGAGCACCUGACGCACCCGUGCACAUCCAGCCGCCCAGCAUCCGCGCGGGCUCGCCUUUCCAGGGCACCAUCACCACCGGCACGCUGCCUGGCGCCAGCACCGGCGGCCGGUCCGAUCCCGCCUCGCCGCCGCUUGAUUUUGGCGCGACGCUAGGCGGCCUGGGUGCGGGCCUUAGCACCAUGUCCUUUGGCAUCUCGGGGCCGUCUUUAAACGCGGCGCUGGCUGGCAUUGGCGGCGGUGGAGUCAUUGGCGGCGGCGUGGCGGCGGCGGACCCGCCGCUGCCGGCGCGCCUGAGCCAUGGCGAAGUGUUCACAAGCAUUGGGCCGCCAUCGCCAUCAGGAGCAGGAAGCGGGGGCGGGGGUCGAUGUCCAACCAGCCCGGGCGGCGGGGGCAGGAUCAGUGAGGGCGGGAAUGGCGGCGCUGCGGCCGGGAGCCCCAGCGGGACUGCAAGCGGCGCGGCGCCUGCGCAGCGCCGCGGCGCGACUUCUCCCUUUGGUCGGCGCUCAGGGGAUGGCGGCGCGGCUGCUCGUGCCGUGGCAACGGGUGGGCGGCGGACACGUGGGGACCUGGCGGCGGCGGCGGCCCAGGUGGCGGCUGAGACUGGGCUGGCGCCAGCGCCCGGUUCCAUUGCGGAGCCAGCGACCAAGCGGCCCAACUCGCAGGUGGGGCUUCAGCGGUCUGACACUGAGCGCGUUGGUGCCCUUGCUCCUCCGAACGGGUUCCUGCAUUGGCCUCUUGUCUUGAUGUGCCUGGCUAACCGCCUACCUGCUUGCCUGCUGCCAUUGCUUGCUCUCCUGCAGAACGACCUGGCUGCGCCGCUGCGGGCCGUGCAGCGGCUUGUGACGGCGGAGCGCGUGGAGUCGCUGGGCAUGUACCUGAACGAGGAGCACGUCACCCGCAGCCAGCACCCCAGCGUGCAACAGGGGCUGCCCGAGACGACGCAGGCGCCAGCAGCGGCGGCGGCGGCCGGAGCCGGUCCCGCAUCGACUCAGGGGAUCUUGAAGGUGGAAAUAAUUCCGGUGAACGACUCUGGGCCGGACCUGGGCGCGGCAGCGGCUGCAGCCUCGCCAGCCGGCGCGGCGCCGUCGCAGGAGGCCGGCGUGAAGCCGGUGAACGGCGAUCUGCAGGCGCGGCUGCAGCAACUGCUGCGCGAGGCCGCGGCGGUGGCGGAGCAGCUGGCGGAUCAGGACCAGCAAGCGGCGCGGUCACUGGUGACAGAGACGAUGCGCGAGUGCCCCACGUUGGGGGCGUUGUUAGGUGGCAGUGGUGUGGGGCCGAACGCAGAGCCGGGGCAGGGCGCGCACACGCAGUCACUUGGAACUGGCUCUGCGCCGGCGCAGUCUUAAAGUACUGGUUUUGUGAUGCAUUGCAUAAAGGUUUUGCGGAAGUGGUUUGUUCCCAGGCAGCUUUAUGGGCAGCACACACCGAAUACCUUCAUAACAAUAAACUGUUUAGGGCAACGUAUCAAAGCCCGUUACCGGUAUUGGCUCGUUCGGAGUUGGUUGCGCAAGUCUACCACUCUUGACGUAUCAGUGCAGUUGUUUUCUGAAUGGCGUACAUUGCCACGCUAUGAGUCGGAAGGGCCAAGUUAUCCACUUCUCCAGCAUUGAUCGCAGGGGAUGCUGGGAUAGGCCCCCUACUCCGUAGUCCUGCAUGGAGCGCAUGCAACGUGAAGCUGUUAACGUUGCAUACACCUGCGCAACCUG
rnacentral:lncRNA from 1 species